AGCCACAGCCGCCGUCGCCGCCGCACCUGCAGCAGGUCUCAAUAUGAAUGGGGCGAACGACCCGCACUUCUUUAUAAAAGAUAUUAAGCCUGGGCUGAAAAACUUAAAUGUCGUCUUUAUUGUCCUGGAGAUAGGACGAGUGACCAAAACCAAAGACGGCCACGAAGUCAGAUCGUGCAAAGUAGCUGAUAAGACGGGAAGCAUCACUAUUUCGGUGUGGGAUGAAAUCGGAGGUCUUAUCCAGCCCGGGGAUAUUAUUCGAUUAACCCGAGGAUAUGCAUCCAUGUGGAAAGGAUGUCUGACUCUUUACACUGGAAGAGGAGGUGAACUUCAGAAAAUUGGGGAAUUUUGUAUGGUAUACUCAGAAGUGCCAAACUUCAGUGAACCUAACCCAGACUAUCUUGGACAGCAGAACAAAGUGGCACAUGGUGAACAAAAAAAUAAUUCUUCAGCAAGUAAUUUGGGUACAGGUACAUUUGGGCCAAUAGGAAAUGGUGUACAAACUGGACCUGAAUCAGGGCGAUUCCCAGUUUCAUAUAAUCAUGCCCACUCCUAUGCAGGUACUGGGAGAGCCAAUGGACGAGGACCUGUAAACCCACAGCUACCAGCAGCAGCUAAUGUUCAGCCAGUUGUGACCACAAUAAGUAAUGGGAGGGACCCCCGGAGAGCCUUUAAAAGAUGACCUAUGCCAAAUGUUCACAUACAGCUUGCCUAAACUACAUGAUGCCCUACUUGAACACUUAUUGCACUUUUAUUUAUGGUUAUCUGUGAAAAGUUUUGUCCUUUAUAUUGGAAAGACCCUCCAAUAUCAAAGCAAGUGACUUACAAUCUAUAAUGACCUACAUUUAUCUAACCAGUCUAGUCUACUUGGGCAACACUCAUCAAGAAGUCUGAGGAAGAUUUUUUUCCUGCUUUCCCCUCACUCCAAUUUUUCACUUACCAACUUAAUUUUUUUAAAAGAGCACUUAAGAUGGAAAUACUAACAUCUCCUGGAAAAGUCACUGGAUUGAGUUCCCCACAUAAUUUCUACAUCAUGGUUAAUUCUGAAGUGGAUUGAAGUCUCAUCAGAAGAACCAGCAUAUGACAUAUACUUCGGUCUUGGGCAUGGUGGGGGGGGAUGGGUGUCUGAAAUUUGAGAGAGUGAAAGAUGAACAGAGAAACUCAGAUGAAAUGUAUUUCAUAUAGGAGGUUCCUAAGCACUCUAGCAUUACCCUAUUUCCUAUUCCUGCAGUUUGUAGCUUUACCACACACAAGGCAUAGAGUUCACACAUAUAAUUUUUAUGUUAAAGCAUUAGAGAAGUAUGGUUAUGUUCAAAGAAAGGAGAAAAUAUUUUGGUUUUCAAGAAUUGAAUCAUCAACAAUUUUUUUCCCCUAGUUUAUAAGCCAAGUAAAAAACUUCUGGUCAGUUGGACAGGCCCAUCAUUUAAAGACUUAUAUUUGUAAGGCCACUUGAGACAAGCUUAUUGUACUCGAUAGUCAUUAGUGAAAUUAUAUGAUUAUGUUCAAAGAAAGGAGAAAAUAUUUUGGUUUUCAAGAAUUGAAUCAACAAUUUUUUUCCCCUAGUUUAUAAGCCAAGUAAAAAACUUCUGGUCAGUUGGACAGGCCCAUCAUUUAAAGACCUAUAUUUGUAAGGCCACUUGAGACAAUUAAGCUUAUUGUACUCGAUAGUCAUUAGUGAAAUUAAGACUAAGCCAACACUUGUAUGUUUAAAGGAAUGCUCUGAGGUACUGGUCAUUUUCUAAAGAACUAGAGUCAUCAAUUAGGCCAUCAAAGUGUCUUGGUCAUAAGUAUACCAUGAGAGAACAGUGGAAGUACAAUGAGCAAAUCAUUUCUCAUACCACACAAUUUCCCAGCAUUUUAACACAUUUUUAAAGGUAAAGCCCGAAAUGGUGACUUUGUGACAAUUGUUAGUUACUCUUAUUGACUUGAGUUAUGGAUUAGGACAUUUUACUAUUUACCAUCUUUCCCAUUCUGUACUCGUCUUGAUGCACUAUUCAUUUUAUUUCAUAUCCCAUACCGUAGACACAUCUUUUGGCCCACACCACCUUGAGACAAGGCUUAGUCCAGUACUUUCUGAGGUAGAUUUUACAGAUAUGUUCUCAGCAAUGAGUGUUUUUCUCCUGUGCUACAAAUGAAAUUGUCCAAUCCCUAUGUCAGAUAUUUAACUCUGAACCCUGUUUUGUGGUAGAAAAGCUUGAAAGAUCCUAAUUGAUCUAUGAAAAAUGAAAAUCUCAUGUGCUUGGUAAUCUGUCAUGCCUGGAGAAAUUAGGGUUUUUUUGAGGCAAAUUGGAACCAAAUUGACAUACUUUGACCUUUUUUAAGGUCCUAUAAUCACAAGUUUAGUAAGAUGUACCUAAAGUCCUACUUAUUUUAUCUUCCCAUCCCAUCUCCAAAUACUGCCCUCAAUCCUGUGACCACAUGAGCAAACUAGAUGGGAAAGAGUCUUGCUUGAACAGCUUUUGGCCAUGUUUCAUAUUUUGUAAUCAUGACAGAUUUUUACUGCCUUGGGCCAUGAACAUAACAUGGUAAAACCUCUAAUUUAGAAAAGAGCAGUCAUGAUUUAGUAGGAAAUCUGGAGUAGAAUCUUAAAGAUGCCUUAUGUUAGUUUACAGUGCUGCGUAAGGCUUUAAGUGAGUGCCAUUAAAUAUAAAUUUUUUAGAAGGCUCAUAGUUCAUAAUAAACCACAAAAGUCCUUUAUCAUGUAAAAAUUAUUGGAUCCAGCACUAAAGGCAUUAAGUGUAUUGUUAGAUGAGUUUAUGACUAGUAAAAGGGCUUAAAAUUCAUACUUUAGUAGCAACCUUAGCCAUAUAUAUCUUUUUAAGUUACUCUAUUGGAAUUCUUCCAAUUUGAGUAGCGUAUAGAAUUUUAUGCCAUUCCCAAGUUAAUUCCUUAUGCCAUCUGGUUGCAUGACAAAUUGGUUUAUCUCAUAAGUAGACCAAGGUGAUUAAUUUCUAGUGUAUAAGCCCUCAAUUCCACUCUCCCCAUUAAAACUGGGCAGAUUAUUUUGGGGGCUACUAGUAGUAUAGUAUUAACCUUGGGUCUUCACUUUCACCCUAUUAUGACUUCUGGCACCUUCAGUUUCAAUGUACCAUGAAAAAUGUACAGAAAUUUGUAAACUGAUUUGGCCAGAAAAUUGGAAUAUGUUAAGUAUAGAUCUUCAUAUAUAUGUGUGUAUAUAUAUAUUUCACAUAAAAUUUUGUUAGGCUUCCUUUAGAAAAUUUAUAUUAGAAACAAAAUGUUGACAUUUUCAUUUGAUUUUUGCAAUUAGCCCGUGAGUAGGCAAAGUACAUCUUGUAGAUGAUGAAGUUGCUUUAAAUUCCUAAGCUAAUGUCAUGAAUUGGGUUAAAAACUUUUUUUUACUGGGCUCAUUUUUAUUAGGCUAUUCUUAGUGAGUCAAUGAAUACCAUAUAGCAAGCAGUGGAGGCACUUUGCCAAGGGUGAGCCUAUGAAAUAUAUUAGAAACCAAAACUCCCAUCCCAAGGAAAAGUUGAUUUUGGGGGGGAUAGAAUUUAAAACGAGUGUGUUGAGGUUAACAUUGGUUUUCUUAGUACAAUCAACAGUAUUAAACCCUUACUGUGUGCCAUCAAACAUGAAGCUGAUGAUACUAGUUGGGAGAAAAUAUAAAAGUUAAGAUAAUCUUUCCCUUAAACUUGCAUAAAGGAAUUAGACACUAAAAAGUUACGAAGUGCUGUUUGAAGACUGAUCAGAUAAAUUCUAGAGGAGGGGAUGUUUGAGAUAGGUAGAAAGUCUGUAGGUACAGAUGAAGGAUAAUCUAAACCAAAACAUCCAGAUGGAAGAAUGAAAUAUGUGUUCUUCCAUUUGUUUCAUUGAAGUCUGUUGGAAAUGGGAAUGGGGAAGAAUAACUAUAAAAGGAUUAAACAUCCCCAGGAAUUUUCAUCUCUCACAAUUUGACCCUUUUGAAAAUAGUCAAAGCCACUUAUCCCAGCAAAUAAUUCAGGAUUGAUUUAUAAUGGUUGAGUCAUGGCAAGCAUAUUCACAACCAAUUUUUUCUUGGAAUGGGUGGGGGAGGGUGUGUGGAAAGGAGAGGAGCCAGGCAAAAUUUGGGCCCAUUUUGAAUUUUCUUGGCAAAGAUACUGGAGUGGUUUGCCAUUUCCCUUUCCAGCUCAUUUUACAGAUGAAGGUUAAGUGAUUUGUCCAGGAUCACACAGCUAGUGAGGCUAGAUUUGAACUUAGAUGAGUCUUUUUGACUUUAGGUCUAGUACUCCAUUGCACCAUUUAGUUGUCCAGUGCCAUCUGCUGGGCAAAUAAUCUAGACCACUGGAUAUCAUUAAGCUAGUUCCUACCUUUUUGGUUAAAGUGUCACUCUCCUGAGACUGUCUACAAAUUUCAGCACCACGUGGAAAAUUAAAUGCCAGUUCAGCUUUUAUAGUAAAUAUAUAUAUUUAUAUAUAUAUAUAUAUUCACAUAUAUAUAAAUCUGAAAUUAUACAAAAAGCAGUUAUGCUACAGGCUCACACUAUAGAAACUAGCAAGGAUUAUGGGAUGAAGGUGGAAGCUUUCCUUCAUAGUUAGUAGCUAGUUGCCAUUAAUACUGGUGAAAAAUGUAAUAGAAAUAGUUUUUGGUAGGUAGAGGUUUUGUAAAAACAGAUGGUGGACCAUAAACCUGUUUUCCCUUAUUCCAUUGAUAUUUUGUAAAAUGCUAGCCAUGUGAAUUUUACUAUACAUAUUUGAGGUUUUACUAAAUAUAUAUCCUCUCUCUCUCUCUCUCUCUCUCUCUCUCUCUCUCUCUCUCUCUCUCUCUCUCUCUCUCUCUCUCUCUCUCUCCUCAGUUAUCUUACUAUUCUACUUAAUCUAUAUAGUUUUUGACUUGCACCUGUGAUUUUUAUCUCUGUGAGCUCCCCAGUGGGGAAACGUCAGUGAUUACCAAUCCAACUGCAAUUUUUUAUGUCACAGAGAAAUGACUUUUUCAGGAUCACACAGACAUUAGUCAGAGGUCAAACUGACCCAGGGCUGCUGUUUUCUAUUCAAUUGUUGCUUCAGUGCGUGUUCUGUCUCCAUACUCCUGAUAGCAUUAGAAAAAUGCCUAACUCUUAAUUGCCUGGUACUUUUGCCUGUGAAGUUUUGAGCAGUGAGAAAUAUUACAUGAGCCAGCCAUGAGUACUGAGCAUAUAUGAAUAUAAAUUCAAUGUUCUCAAGCUGAUAGCUUUUUACAACUUAAGGCACACAGGAGAUGUGUUUGCCUGGGUUGGGUCUCAAAGGAUUGGCUGUUCUUUGGUGGUGUCCAGUGGGUGCCCUUUGCUCUUAGAUUUAGAUAGUCCUAAACUGUGAGUUCAGAAGCAAUCUUAUCACACCAUGGGAUAAGGCUCUGGAGAAUCCUUUCAUGGUAACCAAGCUCACAAGAGAGUGACUAGUGCAGCAGAAUAUUAAUGUUAAUUUAGAAUGGAAGAAACAGCUUAGUGUGAUAACUGGUAGCAAUUAUUUGCCCAGGAUCCUCCCUCUUGGUGGAUCAGUAAGUCCACUCAAGAGACCAAAUUAUGUAGACAAGAGGUUGCUUAGCACAAAGAGCAAAGGGAGUUGAAUAUCUUUAAGAGACAUAUUUCCAACAGCUUCUGCACUUAGAGAUGUUUCUACCUAAAUAACCAGUAUUGGCCUUCAGAAUCAGUUCAUUCUCUUUUCUUGGAAAACCCUGGAAACAGGCUUCCUGGAGACAAGCUAUUAGAAUCUAAUAAUAUCUGGAACAGAAAAAGAUCUUAGUUUGUUGCUUUACACUCAAGGCUGGCAGGGAAGGAUUAUAACCAUCAUAUACUCUAACCCCCCCUCACUUUGUAGAAUAGAAAGCUAACCUGACCUUGACUUAAAGAGGGGAAGUAAUGACCAAGACUGCAUAGAGAGUUAGGCAAGAUGACAGACAGGUAAAAGAAUCAAAGGACAUUGCUUUGCAUCUUGCCUCAUACUGUUCAUGUGACUCUAGUCAAAUCUCUUGGUGUCUCUGAGUCUCAAUUUUCUUAUCUGUAAAAUAGGGAUUAUUAUACCUGGUCUGCCUAUCUUCAUAGUUAUGACAUGAAGCACUUUCUAAACCUCAAGGUGCUAUAGAAAUUUGAGCUGCAAUUAGUGGCUGAUUCCAAACAUAGAAUCUAGACCUCAUGUAUACUAAGCUGCUUUAUGAUAAUUCCUAAAUAUUAAACAUUGUUCACAUAUAUGAGUAGAAUCAAUUUUAUCUAGCCAUGGCAAGUUUAUACUGUUCUUUUUCUUGUCCUCCAGAAUUUAUAUUAAAAGCAUUGGUAUUGCUAGUUUCCCCUAAUAGAGAGUUGAAUCCCCAUUAAUGACAGUAAACUUUUUUUAAAGACUUACCUUCUGCUUUAAAAUCAAUACCAUUUAUUGGUUCCAAAGCAGAAGAGUGGUAAGAGCUAGGCAAUGGGAAUUAAGUGAUUUGCCCAGGGUCACACAGCUAGGAAGUGUCUGAGAUCACAUUUGAACUCAGGACCUCCAAUCUCUAGGCCUGGCUGUCAAUCCACUGAGCUACGUAGAUCCCACCUUCCCCCCCACCCCCAGUGGACUUUUAAAAACAAAAUAGAGCUCACUUCUAAACUCUUGGUUCUUUGUUACCUGCAAUGUAAGCUUACAGGUUUUAAAACAUGAGUCCUAGAGUUGGAAGAAAUCUUAGAAACCACCCUCUGAUGAAUGAGUUUAAUGUAAUUUUCAAGACAACAGUGUUCAGAACACCAUUCUAGAUUUGAGAAGUUUAGAUAAGGCUGGGUUCCUGUCUACAUGAAGUUUAUAGAUUAGAAAGGGGAUUUUAAUACACCUAGAUAACUAUACGACAAAGAGAUCAGAAGUAGAGAACUGCAGAAGCAUUAUUGUGAGUUCUGCAGGGAAGUAGGAAGAAGGAAAAAUCUUUGCAAUUUUGGGAGCCUGUAACUUGAAAGAGGCAUUAUCAUCCCAUAGCUAUAUUCUCCUCCUCCUCUGUAUCCCAAAUGCUGAGAAUGCAGCGGGAAUCCCUAUGUGUUCUUCCUCAUCAAAUGUAAAUGGAAUUCUAGUGAUAAUGUUAAGUACCCUGGGGCAGCUUUAGGUCACUUUUGCCUGAUUCUGCACAGACUCCAAAGGAGGGCAGUGCGUGUGGAAAUUGAGCAUUGUUUGAACCUAGUUCUGUGUGACUAGAAACUGAACCACCUCUACUUGAUCUCCAGAGAUCCCCAACCAAGGACGUAGGUUAUGUCUAAAGACUGAUGGGAAGAGUUUUCCCAGAAUGGUGAAUCUAAGCAGCUCAUAUGGCUUAUCUGAAAUAUAGCCCUAUAAUAAU